GACGAACGCUGGCGGCGUGCUUAACACAUGCAAGUCGAACGGAAAGGCCUCUUUCGGGGGGUACUCGAGUGGCGAACGGGUGAGUAACACGUGAGUAACCUGCCCUUGACUUUGGGAUAACUUCAGGAAACUGGGGCUAAUACCGGAUAGGAGCUCCUGCUGCAUGGUGGGGGUUGGAAAGUUUCGGCGGUUGGGGAUGGACUCGCGGCUUAUCAGCUUGUUGGGGGGGUAGUGGCUUACCAAGGCUUUGACGGGUAGCCGGCCUGAGAGGGUGACCGGCCACAUUGGGACUGAGAUACGGCCCAGACUCCUACGGGAGGCAGCAGGGGGGAAUAUUGCACAAUGGGUGGAAGCCUGAUGCAGCAACGCCGUGUGCGGGAUGACGGCCUUCGGGUUGUAAACCGCUUUCGCUCAUGACGAAGCUUUGUGUGACGGUAGUGGGUAAAGAAGCACCGGCUAACUACGUG
rnacentral:rRNA from 1 species